rnacentral:rRNA from 1 species
CAGUAGCCACGGUAAGACGGAGGGUGCUAGCGUUGUUCGGAAUCACUGGGCGUAAAGGGCGCGUAGGCGGCCUGUUAAGUCGGAUGUGAAAGCCCGGGGCUCAACCCCGGAACUGCAUCCGAGACUGGCAGGCUUGAGACCGGGAGAGGAGGGUGGAAUAUCCAGUGUAGAGGUGAAAUUCGUAGAUAUUGGAUGGAACACCGGUGGCGAAAGCGGCUCUCUGGCCCGGAUCUGACGCUGAGGCGCGAAAGCGUGGGGAGCAAACAGGAUUAGAUACCCCUGUAGUCCCUGUCUCUUAUAC